UGGGGAAUAUUGGACAAUGGGCGGAAGCCUGAUCCAGCCAUGCCGCGUGUGUGAAGAAGGCCUUUUGGUUGUAAAGCACUUUAAGCGAGGAGGAGGCUACUUGGAUUAAUACUCUAGGAUAGUGGACGUUACUCGCAGAAUAAGCACCGGCUAACUCUGUGCCAGCAGCCGCGGUAAUACAGAGGGUGCGAGCGUUAAUCGGAUUUACUGGGCGUAAAGCGUGCGUAGGCGGCUUCUUAAGUCGGAUGUGAAACCCCUGAGCUUAACUUAGGAAUUGCAUUCGAUACUGGGAAGCUAGAGUAUGGGAGAGGAUGGUAGAAUUCCAGGUGUAGCGGUGAAAUGCGUAGAGAUCUGGAGGAAUACCGAUGGCGAAGGCAGCCAUCUGGCCUAAUACUGACGCUGAGGUACGAAAGCAUGGGGAGCAAACAGG
rnacentral:rRNA from 1 species